GAUGAAGAACGUAGUGAAAUGCGAUAAUUAAUGUGAAUUGCAGAAUUCCGUGAAUCAUCGAGUCUUUGAACGCACAUUGCGCCUCAUGGCAUUCCGUGAGGCAUGCCCAUCUCAGCGUUAGAAAAUAUUCUCAAAUUUUAGUUUUGUGCUAAAAUUUGGAUCAUGUCAAGGAAGCUAUUACUAUUAUUGUGAUCGCUCUUUGGAAAUUGAUAGGUCUUUGAGUUGCUACUCAUAGAACGUGAUGAAUCUUUCUUCGUUCUAUUGUAAUUCACUCUGGUAGUCCUAAAACUUGUAUGCCUGUGGCAUAUGUUGUAAUUUGACCUGAGAUUGGGUAGGGAUACCCGCUGAACUUAAGCAUAUCAAUAAGCGGAGGA
rnacentral:misc_RNA from 1 species